GCCCCGGUGGCGCAAUGGAAGCGCAGUCGACUUGUAAUCGACAGGUUAGGGGUUCGAAUCCCCUCUGGGGCUCCA
rnacentral:tRNA from 1 species